AUUGAACGCUGGCGGCAUGCUUUACACAUGCAAGUCGAACGGCAGCGCGGGCUUCGGCCUGGCGGCGAGUGGCGAACGGGUGAGUAAUACAUCGGAACGUGCCCAGUAGUGGGGGAUAGCUCGGCGAAAGCCGGAUUAAUACCGCAUACGACCUGAGGGUGAAAGCGGGGGAUCUUCGGACCUCGCGCUAUUGGAGCGGCCGAUGGCAGAUUAGCUAGUUGGUGGGGUAAAGGCCUACCAAGGCGACGAUCUGUAGCUGGUCUGAGAGGACGACCAGCCACACUGGGACUGAGACACGGCCCAGACUCCUACGGGAGGCAGCAGUGGGGAAUUUUGGACAGUGGGCGAAAGCCUGAUCCAGCAAUGCCGCGUGUGUGAUGAAGGCCUUCGGGUUGUAAAGCACUUUUGGCGGGAACGAAAAGGACUGUGCCAAGACCACGGUUCGAUGACGGUACCCGCAGAAUAAGCACCGGCUAACUACGU
rnacentral:rRNA from 1 species